GACGAACGCUGGCGGCGUGCUUAACACAUGCAAGUCGAACGGAAAGGCCCUGCUUUUGUGGGGUGCUCGAGUGGCGAACGGGUGAGUAACACGUGAGUAACCUGCCCUUGACUUUGGGAUAACUUCAGGAAACUGGGGCUAAUACCGGAUAGGAGCUCCUGCUGCAUGGUGGGGGUUGGAAAGUUUCGGCGGUUGGGGAUGGACUCGCGGCUUAUCAGCUUGUUGGUGGGGUAGUGGCUUACCAAGGCUUUGACGGGUAGCCGGCCUGAGAGGGUGACCGGCCCCAUUGGGACUGAGAUACGGCCCAGACUCCUACGGGAGGCAGCAGUGGGGAAUAUUGCACAAUGGGCGGAGGCCUGAUGCAGCAACGCCGCGGGCGGGAUGACGGCCUUCGUGUUGUAAACCGCUUUCGCCUGUGACGAAGCGUGAGUGACGGUAAUGGGUAAAGAAGCACCGGCUAACUACGUG
rnacentral:rRNA from 1 species